CUUCCCCAGACGCAACUAGAAACCUGGAAAUAAAAAUCACCCAGACACAAGUUAAAAAAAUCGUGAGAAAUUGCAUCCAGCAGCCUACACCACUCUCCUUCGUUCUUAUCCAUUUGUACGAUAAUUUUCUAGGUAUUCCCAUCUCCGUGCCUCAAUCGUCGUUGUGAAGAAAUAGACGGUCCUCCUCUCAAAUCCGUUGAGAAUCCUACAGAUCAAGCUUUUUGAACCUUAUCUUCUAAAGAAGGAUUUGAAUUUUAAAUUCAAGUUUGCCCCCAUCCCCUCUCAUUUUUCCCCUUCACCAAACCCUAGACUCCUUCUAUGCAAACUCUCCUCAUUCACAGUAUUAGGGGUUGGGGAAAAAAAAGAAAUGAAAAGGAUCUAGAAAAGUGAUAUUUAUAGCAAAUACUAAUUUUAAAAUAGUCAUAUAUACUCAACAGAGGUUCUCUUUUCUUUGUUCAUCAUUUGCCUAAGCUCGUUGGAGUUUUGGGAGUCCUGAAGUGUUGUAGAAAAGUUCGCCUCCUACUCACUUUGGCUCAGUUCUCUAUUCCAAACAAGAAACUGAAGUAGCAAGAUUGAAACUAGAAUACAGGUCUUGACAGCUCAAAAAUGGAUUUUAUAGGGAUGAUUUACAACAACAAUAUACAAGUGUAUACCAAAAUUGUAUACAAUUCUCAGAAACUUGAAAAUAAGAUUCAAGCCCACGAUUUUUGUUACCAGAAUGUCCAAGAAUCUUUUAAAACUAAAAAUGGAUUGACACCCAUUUUUUACUAGCAAGCUUUAAUUUAGAAGAUAGAAAACGGACCAAAGUGCGUUUGUAGGCCCAAUUUCGGGAUUAGUUAUAUUUUUCAUCCUAUACACUUAUUUAUUUAUUAUGUGUAUUGAUUAUAAUCCUUUUCUUUGA